rnacentral:rRNA from 1 species
AUGCCCGCAAAUGAUCUGGAGGAGAUUAAGGAACAGAUCAAGGAGUUAUUGGAGAAAGGUUACAUUCGACGGAGAUCAUCACCAUGGGGAGCCCCAGUGCUUUUGGUCGAGAAGAAGGAUAAGUCUCUAAGAAUGGUUGUUGAUUAUCGUGUGUUAAAUGAGGUAACGAUCAAGAACAAAUACCCAUUGCCGAUGAUCAAUGAUUUGUUCGACCAGCUGCAAGGAGCUAAGGUGUUUUCAAAGAUUAACCUGCGAUUUGGAUAUCACCAGCUGAAGAUACGAGAGAAGGACAUACCAAAGACAGCAUUCACCACACGGUACGGGUUGUAUGAAUGUAUGGUCAUGUCGUUUGGACUAACUAACGCCCUGCCUACUUCAUGA